GAACAGGUCCAGUUUUGAACAAAUGAUCAUUACGUUUCGAUACGCUUCGUUACGUAUAUUCCCGUUUCGCUACUCUUUCAAAUCGUAGUAAAACGAAGUUCUUGAAACAUGACAGUGUGGCUGGGGCUUUAUAAAGGCUCAAACGCUCCUUGUUGAUAUAUGGAAGUAGUGUACGGAACAAUUUGUCUACAAUGCAAAAACAAUGUUACAAAAUUGAAUCUUUAUUGAAAAAUUAUAUAUUGUAAAAUUAUAUUUUGUGAAUGUUGAUAACAGUAAAUUUAUUAUUCAUGUUGUAAUAUAUGUAUAU
rnacentral:lncRNA from 1 species